ensembl:lncRNA
GUUGCUCUGCAUCCGUUGUCACAAUUUUUGGAUUCCUAGUCCCAUCAUAUAAAUUUUUCCCUGCCUCCCAGUCUAGGCUUCAUUUUUUAAACAGAAACAGAACCUGAGUAAAUGGACCUCUCACCUCAGAAUAUUUUACAUCUUGUCAUGACACCACAGACCUGCAGGAAUCUCAGUGGAGGGAAGUUUCUGUCCAGAAUUUAAAAGUGUUUACUUUGCUCCUGCUGCUUUUCAUCCCUUUUCUCUCCUCCUGGUGUGUAUUUUCCUGCCCUGCUGACUGUGGUGUUGCAUACUAAUGGAGUAAUACUUGGCCCAUCCCCAGAGGAAGUUGUGUGCAGGUUUAUUGAGGAACAGAGGGGUCAGGAGGAAUUUCAGCGCAUCCAAUAACUCUCCUACUGGUGAGAUGCCUUCAGAUCCCAGGAACUUUGCCAGCUGUUCUCAGCUGUGGUGUGACUUCCCCUGUCAACAUUCUCCCUGCAGGAUAUCCCAUGGUCUGAGGCAAGGAGCCCUUCCUUGGGAAGGGAACUUGAACCCAUCCAGAGCAGGAGCUGAAGGGAGCCCAACAUCUCUCACUUUCCUGGACUUAAGGUAAGCAACUGCUAUUAUAAAGACAGGCUUAAACAAAAAUUACAAAAUUUAGGGCAGACUCCUACUUUCAGGAGAUCACUUAUCUACCAAAGUGAUAAGAAAAUUCCCUCCUCUGGUCCUGAGUGAGCCACUCAAGAGAGGGGUAAAAUACCUGACAUCUCCUCUUGCCACCCAGUUUCUAUCAGGCAAGUAGAUGUGGAAUGGAGGACCAGGGCCCUCACUCUAGGAAACGAGGAUUUGACAACUCAAAUGCUUUUCUUCUCUCAAUUCUGUAAUGUUCUGGGUGUGUGAUUAAACUCUGAGUUGUUGAGUCCUGGUGACUCAGUAUGUGUAUAGUAAAACUAGUUUCCUGUUCCUGGACCUUUUUAAAAAAAUCAGUAUUCAUUUCAGCUUGUGCUGACAGCUGAAACUGUAAAAAAUAUUAAACUAAUAUUUUUAUUUUCAGAGUGUGCUUUGAACAAGCAGCCUUAAUUUAAGUGUUAUUUUAGCAGUUCAUUUCUCAAAAAUAACUAAAUCAUUCUUUCCAAAAUCCAUGUACAAGCUGACUCAUAACAUGAAGCUCCAUUCAAGCCAUGGCAUAGCCACAGUGGAUUUAAUGCCAAAGUAAUUUUCUCAUUUUUCAUGGAGACCAGUCUUAGUGGAAAAAAGAACCAAGAAAGAAAUCUUUUAGAAGUAGCUAACAAUCAGACUAAAAGCAGGGGCAGUCUGGAGAAUGGAUAUUUAUGUCUUUAAUUCUUGAAUGGCUCAUAGAAAAUUCUGUAUUAAUGACAGAAUUUUCUAUUCAAUUACAUGGGGUGAUUUAAAUACAUAAAAAAGUAAUCACAAAACUUCUGUUAGAUUUUGCUUAAAGUAUAGUCAAAAGAGACUGUGAUUUAACUGAGACUAGAAUUUCAGACAUGCUUUAAUAUGUUUUCAGUGUUGCUCCCUGGAGAUUCAUCCUGUACAGAUCAGGUUAUUUAGAGAUUAAGUGCCUGGAAACAAGAGAGAUUACAAUAUGAAAUACAUUCAAAAACUUGGAAUUAAUUUUAUAACUUUUGCUAAGAGAACUGAUAACACACAGCACAACUGGCCCAACAUCUACAGAUCUGCUUGUAAUUACUACUUUCUACUACAAUAGCUUUCUGUUACUACCAUGUGGGUAACCAUUGACUCACAACAGUAGAAAUAUCACUCUGACUCAAUACUACUAAAUGCCAUUUUCAGAAAAGGAAAUACAAGCACUGAAGUGACCAACAAAAUGGAGAAAUUAUGUAGUUUGGUACCUGCUUUAUGCAGUUUGAGGCAAUUUUUACAAAUUCCUUUAAACACUGCAAGUGUGUAAGAUGUAAGCUAAUUUAAACCUGCUUUGCCAUUUUCAUGUUAAGCAAUUGACAUGGUUCUGAUAUAAUCAGUGGUACAAAGGUCCCAAAGUAAAAUACUAAAUAGUCACUACAUAAGGUAUCACUUUAAAAUAGAGUUACACUUGGUAAGAAUCCUAAUUUAUCAAUAAUUAUGUAUCACUAAAGAAUAAGCUGAUAAAGGACUUUCUUUCACACAUUUCUUCCAUCACAGUGCUGAGCCCAUGUGAGCUGUGCCUGCACUAACAGAACUGCAAGACUCAGUGCAGGAGAAGCAAUCAAGGAUGGAGUGACAACAAAAGCACCAGAUGCCACUGAUGCCUCUUCCACACUUCAGUCCCCAGGCAUCACAGCAGAACAAGGAACCCUCCUGACUCCAGGGUUUCCUAGUAAAGACAGAUUUGAAGAGGCACAGCCACUCUCCUAAGAGAUUAAAAAUAAAGUGCUGACAAAUUCUAUUGUCA